rnacentral:rRNA from 1 species
CCUACGGGAGGCAGCAGUGAGGAAUAUUGGUCAAUGGACGAGAGUCUGAACCAGCCACGUAGCGUGAAGGAUGACUGCCCUAUGGGUUGUAAACUUCUUUUAUAUGGGAAUAAAACAGGGUAUGCAUACACUCUUGUAUGUACCAUAUUAAUAAGGCUCGGCUAACUCCGUGCCAGCAGCCGCGGUAAUACGGAGGAUCCGAGCGUUAUCCGGAUUUAUUGGGUUUAAAGGGCGCGUAGGUGGAUUGUUAAGUCAGGUGUGGAAGUUUGCGGCGCAACCGUAAAAUUGCAGUUGAAACUGGCUGUCUUGAGUACAGUAGAGGUAGGCGGAAGUCGUGGUGUAGCGGUGAAAUGCUUAGAUAUUACGAAGAACGCCGAUUGCGAAGGCAGCGCACUGGACUGCAACUGACGCUGAUGCUCGAAAGUGUGGGGAUCAAACAGGAUUAGAUACCCGAGUAGUC